rnacentral:rRNA from 1 species
AUGAACGCUGGCGGCGUGCCUAAUACAUGCAAGUCGAGCGAACAGAUGAGGAGCUUGCUCCUCUGACGUUAGCGGCGGACGGGUGAGUAACACGUGGAUAACCUACCUAUAAGACUGGGAUAACUUCGGGAAACCGGAGCUAAUACCGGAUAAUAUAUUGAACCGCAUGGUUCAAUAGUGAAAGACGGUUUUGCUGUCACUUAUAGCUGGAUCCGCGCCGCAUUAGCUAGUUGGUAAGGUAACGGCUUACCAAGGCAACGAUGCGUAGCCGACCUGAGAGGGUGAUCGGCCACACUGGAACUGAGACACGGUCCAGACUCCUACGGGAGGCAGCAGUAGGGAAUCUUCCGCAAUGGGCGAAAGCCUGACGGAGCAACGCCGCGUGAGUGAUGAAGGUCUUCGGAUCGUAAAACUCUGUUAUUAGGGAAGAACAAAUGUGUAAGUAACUAUGCACGUCUUGACGGUACCUAAUCAGAAAGCCACGGCUAACUACGUG